GACGUAGGGCGCGAGCGUUGUCCGGAUUUAUUGGGCGUAAAGAGCUCGUAGGCGGCUUGUCGCGUCGAAUGUGAAAACCCACAGCUCAACUGUGGGCUUGCAUUCGAUACGGGCAGGCUCGAGUUCGGUAGGGGAGACUGGAAUUCCUGGUGUAGCGGUGAAAUGCGCAGAUAUCAGGAAGAACACCAAUGGCGAAGGCAGCUCUCUGGGACGGUACUGACACUGAGACGCGAAAGCGUGGGGAGCGAACAGG
rnacentral:rRNA from 1 species